CCUACGGGUGGCAGCAGUGGGGAAUAUUGCACAAUGGGGGAAACCCUGAUGCAGCAACGCCGCGUGGGUGAAGAAGGAUUUCGUUUUGUAAAGCUCUAUCGGCAGGGAAGAAAAUGACGGUACCUGAGUAAUAAGCACCGGCUAACUACGUGCCAGCAGCCGCGGUAAUACGUAGGGUGCAAGCGUUAUCCGGAAUUACUGGGCGUAAAGGGAGCGUAGGCGGCAUGGCAAGUCUGGAGUGAAAGCCUAGGGCUUAACCCCAGGACUGCUCUGGAAACUGUAAGUCUAGAGUGCAGGAGAGGUAAGUGGAAUUCCUAGUGUAGCGGUGAAAUGCGUAGAGAUGAGGAGGAAUACUAGUGGCGAAGGCGGCCUACUGGAAUGUAACUGACGCUGAGGCGCGAAAGCGUGGGGAGCAAACAGGAUUAGAUACCCGAGUAGUC
rnacentral:rRNA from 1 species